AGGAUGAACGCUGGCGGCGUGCCUAAUACAUGCAAGUCGAACGAGGUCUUCGGACCGAGUGGCGAACGGGUGAGUAACACGUUGGUACCUACCCCGAAGUGGGGAAUAACUGCCCGAAAGGGUGGCUAAUACCGCAUAAUACCGCAAGGUUAAAGCAGUAAUGCGCUUCGGGAGGGGCCUGCGUCCCAUUAGCUAGUUGGUAGGGUAAUGGCCUACCAAGGCGACGAUGGGUAGCUGGAUCGAGAGGUUGACCAGCCACACUGGGACUGAGAUACGGCCCAGACUCCUACGGGAGGCAGCAGUAAGGAAUCUUCCACAAUGGACGAAAGUCUGAUGGAGCAACGCCGCGUGCAGGAUGACGGCCUUCGGGUGUAAACUGCUUUUAUAUGGGAAGAUUAUGACGGUACCAUAUGAAUAAGGACCGGCUAACUACGUGUCAGCAGCCGC
rnacentral:rRNA from 1 species